rnacentral:tRNA from 1 species
AGCUCUGAGGUGUUUAACACGUGAGAUUGCAAAUCUUGAGUAGCAGGUUAGUCCCUGCCGGGGCUU